AGCCUGGGAUGAUUUUUGUGUAAGAGUAGUGGACAGAACAUUUUUCUGAGAAAUUCUAAACUGAGGCU
rnacentral:snoRNA from 1 species